rnacentral:lncRNA from 1 species
CGAGCGAUAUAUAAAAUCAAACUUCAAACUCAAAAAAGCUAAACAUGCCUCUCACGAUUAAAAAUAAAUAAAUUUUUCGAUCCACUAUUCAUACCCAAAUAAUGCAAAAUUGUUUAAACGAUUUCAUUCAUGCUUGUUCGCAGUAAAAUUUAUAAGGAUAAGAGUACAUGACAGAUAAGAACCUGUAUGAUAAACUGAAUCGAAUAUAGAAGCAAAACACCAUCACCGGAAACUCGAACGAAAACCGAAGUUGAAUCUUCUUAUAACCCAAAGAAUUUCUUUCUAACUUUUCUUUUUUUUCUGUUUUUGCUUCACUCUCCUUCCGUUUCUUUUUCUAUAAUCUCUCUUUCUCCUUUUUUUUGUUUUCUUCUCCCUUCUUGAUCCGUAUGUGGUCUAUCCUCCUUGUGUGUGUGCUUUUUGUGUUAUAUAAGGAGUAGCAGAUUGUGAGGGAGUGGGAUUGAGGUGUGGGAGAGACGUGGGUUAUGGGGAUAUUGGGUAGUUUUAGGUUUCUUUUUUUUUUUUUAUUAAUAUUUUAAACAAGGGGGUUUUU